rnacentral:misc_RNA from 1 species
CGAAACGACUUACCGAGUCUAGUAUAAGAAUGCAAGCACGUGGACUAAAAGCCUUUUGAUUCGUAGAUCCGGUAAAAUCACGUGAAAUACACGAGGUGAAGCGCAUGCGCAGUAGGAGAAUACCGGCUUGUCGACGAUGUGCUGUUGGAUGACACUCACGCCGGUGCUUUCAGACGCAAUCUGAAAGUAUAGGAGGUUAGAUCGCAUAAUUCGUGUUAACAACCAAGUAUCCACCUCCAAUAUCUUCUUGCGUUUAACAAAUUCUACGGUAAUAAAUCCGUAAGUGUAAAUUAAGAAAUAAAAAAAAAUGAUUAAAAAUUCGUGACAUUUUAAGAGAUUGGCACAAACGAUGCAUUGCUUCGUUUUCGCCACGUGAAUACUGCCGUCCGUCUUAUCGUUUAUAUACCAGUAAUAAUUUACUCCAUUCGUUCAUUUUGUUUUAUUUUACUUUAUUUCAACUUUUGGAAAUUAGUUUGAAUUCGAAGAAACAAAAUAUUUAGAUAGACAAGAAAAUCUACUAUAUUACAUAUUAUGUGCUUAUUUUAAAGAGAUUUAUCAAAUAUAAGUUUUAAAGAUCUUUCUAUUGAAGAUUUCAAAAACUAAAGAAAAAAGGUGACAAAAAGUAUAUAUAGAAAAUUGUGCGCAUUCAUAAAAAAAAGGAACGUGUGUGCAUAAAGGCUCGUCAUUCCCAACAAGAAGAAAAUCUAGUCUUUCUGUUUUAUUCCACUUUUUGGUGGAACGGUUGUCCAGUUCAAAAAAAGAUAUCUAAAUGUGUUCCAUAGCGAUACCAGCUGAACUGCUUCUGGGGCAUAGUCCUCCAGUGUAUAGUUCGCUGCUAUACAGUCCCUUGGUGGUAACGGCACCGACGAUUACUAGCAGGUCGGUACCACCCAGAAUAAGGCCAUGCCUGUCAUCUGGUUCCUUGGCCAUAAAUAACAUUCGAAACAAUAAUGAUGGCAGUAAUAAACAAAAGAAAAAAGUAGUGUUUGCCGAUGAUCGUGGCCGUCCUCUUACUCAGGUACGUGUGAUGUCGGAACCGAGUAAUGUACCACCUUUGUGGAGCACAGCUUAUCUGGCUGGAUUAACAGGGCGGCUUUUAAAUUCGAAAAUUGAGAAUGAUCAAUCUAUAGAACUCGUGUCACCUUGGCAAGUAACUUUCCCUCAACCGGCGAGCGAUUAUUUAGCCUUCCGUCAGAAACUUGAUCAGGAGAAUGUCAGCUUGGAAAACGUGAUAGUGAAAGAAUCGGAACAGUGUCUAGUAGGUACCAUCAAGGUACGUAAUCUGGCGUAUGACAAGGAAGUCGUGGUCAGGGUGAGCAACGAUUCUUGGAAGACACACGAGGACGUUCAUUGCACUUAUGUUGAACAACCGGGUUCUCCGGCCCUGAUUCUUUACGAUACCUUCCGCUUUCGAUUAACUCUACCAUUGAAAUCAAACGUGAUAGAAUUCUGUGUACGAUAUCGAACCGAUGGAAAAGAAUAUUGGGACAACAACGAGGAAAAGAAUUUUAUCGUUCGAAAAAAGUUAGAGCCACGAGCACCACCCAAACGGUACGAUAUUCUGACAACGUGCGAUGGCUUUUCGAAGAAUAAUAACCGAGAUAGUAUACCACGAAUCACAGAUGCAACAAAAGCGAACGUACGCACGUGGAGCGAGUUCGCAUCCUGGCAGCAUCUUGCGAAUGAUGCUCCAUACUGGUGAAUCUUUGUCACUGGUCACAAACGAUGUACGUAUGUCGUACGAAUUCUUCCAAUCUAUUUGGUUUAAAGAUCACAAGAUGUAGACCAUGCGGGACGAGGUGGCAAUAUAUCUACGCAACGGCAUGCAUAAGAUUGUCGUACGAAAACAUCGUGUAAUAUUUACACGAUAGCGUAUAUAAGUGUGGACAUCAAGAUCAAGAGAACGCAGAAAAGAGCAAUGAUAAAAAGAAGGGAAGCGAUGGACUGUGAUUAAGUUCAAAUUAUAAAAAGACAUGCUUGAACGGAAGAAAAAGACAAUAAUCAGAAGUCGAUAGCGCGGAACAGGCGAGAAAGGAGGCACUAGUCGCGUUACAUUUAUGAUUGCAACGUGCAGAACAGACAUAUAUAGUGUAUAUGGAACACAGGAACACACAAUAACCGUGUAAGAGAGACAAUGCAAACAAAUACUAAAGAUCAUGGAUCUGGA